ACUCAUUCACUGUUUUCCCCUCUGUUUCACUCCUCAGAGGCACACACUCAGGUCCCACUGUGAGAGACUUUACUUGGAAGCUGAAAAUGCAAAGAUGACCAGAGAGUGGCUCUUCUCAGGGGAGCUCGAGUCCAGCCGGAGUCGGAAGACGAAGACAGUUGAUUUUCUGUUGAGACCUGCUACUGAUAUCGAAGGGUGUUUCACAGCCAGAAGGAGAGAAAGACACCCUGAAGCAGGAAACAAGACGAACAUCGAGUCCAUUUAGUUGAUUCUUCAUUCAUUCCAGAUGUUUGGCACCGUGGAGACAAAACAUCCGACACUCUGCUAUUGUGUAGACUCAACCUCUGAAUAUACAAAAGAUCCAGUUUCACAUUCUCAACUGUUUCAGACUUCUUUGGCUGUUUGCUAAUAGCAGCCUUGAAAAAGAAACUGUCCAAAGAAAGUAGAAGAAUGUAAGUAGAAUGAUUUGUCCAAGUAGUGACUUGCUUUCCUUUCUCCAGGCAAUGCUGGAAUUAAUUUGAUCAUACUUUGGCAUCUUCCUCUGAGGCCAGCAGAAGUUUCUCCAGG
rnacentral:lncRNA from 1 species